rnacentral:tRNA from 1 species
GCUCUAAUAGCUUAACAAUAAAGCAUUGUUUUUGUAAACCAAAGCUGGGCCACCCCCUUAGAGCA